UCACCACUAACACCACCAAAACUCAUCACCAGUAACAUUCAUCACCACCACCACCACCACCACCACCACUCAAUUUCAUCACCACUAACACCACCAAAACUCAUCACCAGUAACAUUCAUCACCACUAACACCACCACCAUUACUCAAUUUCAUCACCACUAACACCACCAAAACUCAUCACCAGUAACAUUCAUCACCACUAACACCACCACCACCACCAUCAAUAAGUUAGGGCAGGUUAAGUUAGGUUCAAUAUCACCACCACCACCACUACUAACACCACCACUCAAAUUCAUCACCACUAACACCACCAAACCUCAUCACCAGUAUCAUUCAUCACCACUCACCACCACUAACACCACCACCACCAUCAAUAAGUUAGGUUCAAUAUCACCACCACCACCACCACCACCACUCAAAUUCAUCACCACUAACACCACCAAAACUCAUCACCAGUAACAUUCAUCACCACCACCAGUACCCCCCCCC